rfam:Ictidomys tridecemlineatus contig002337, whole genome shotgun sequence.
GGGAUUGUGGCUCAGUGGUAGAGUGCUUGCCUAGCACACUUGAGGCACUGGGUUCAAAUCUCAGCACCA